CGGCGGACGGGUGAGUAACGCGUGGGUAACCUGCCCUGUACACACGGAUAACAUACCGAAAGGUAUGCUAAUACGGGAUAACAUAAGAAAUUCGCAUGUUUUUCUUAUCAAAGCUCCGGCGGUACAGGAUGGACCCGCGUCUGAUUAGCUAGUUGGUGGGGUAACGGCUCACCAAGGCGACGAUCAGUAGCCGACCUGAGAGGGUGAUCGGCCACAUUGGAACUGAGACACGGUCCAA
rnacentral:rRNA from 1 species